rnacentral:lncRNA from 1 species
GCCGCGGUCAUCUCAACUCCAGCAACUCUGGCUUCGACGAAAUUCUACACCAACAGAUUGAUUGUCCUCUUAACCAAGGAGUGUGAAGACACUAGUAUGGUAUACAGGUGAGAUAUAGGAGUACAUCGUUAUUAAACAAGUGACUCACCUGCGAAGUGCUCUAUUGUCUGGAGCUGCUCAUGAAGAAUGUGGGCAUAAGUGUCCCUCUGACUUGAGAUCACCAUGGUGACUUAUAAGCAACUCACUGUGCUUGGGUGUUGGACUAUCUGAAU